ensembl:lncRNA
CACACACUGGACCUGUGCCGUGCCAGAAGUGAUGGCAUCUCCUCCACAAGCCAGCCCCAGCAAUGGCACAAAGCCAGGGGUAAAAAAAGUUACUGGACAACCUGUGAGUAGUGUGGUGGCAGCUAAGGCCAAAGUCAACCGCAAGCAGAAACCCAUCAUGUCCAGUUACAUUCAUAAUAACAUGUAUUGUUAUAGGAAAGAGUUAGGAACAGGAGUACAUGGUCUACUGAGGGAGAUGACUGAUGCACCCAUAAGCUACAUAGCUGAUGAAGCUGCACCUGAGGUAGAAAUUGAAGGCAGGAAAUAUGCAUUGGGGUGCGGUCUAAGCCACCAGUGUUAGACUUCAACAAUUUUGGGGGCUCAUCCGGGAUUGGAAAAAGGAGAAGGAAUUCGACACGGUCCAGACAACCUAUACAAGAUUCACAGGUACCGAGCCGGCUCAUGAUAAAGGUAAGCAGAGCCUGUUAUAUCUAAGUCUGCAUAUUGGCUAUGAACUAAAUUGUGAACCUGUGGAAAACGUAGUGGGGUACUGGUUUAAAUUCAGGAGGGCAAGGCAAUUGGUUAAUCGUUCUGGGGUUGACUACCCCAGACCACUUCCCGACGGGGACGGUGGAGAUUGUAAGUAAGGGACUUGAUAAUCAGUCGGGUGAAUGGCCCGAGGAGAUAGGGACACCUCGAACAUAACGGGUGAGUUAGGAUCUCACACAUAAAUAAACACUAGUAAGG